UACGUAGGGGGCGAGCGUUGUCCGGAUUUAUUGGGCGUAAAGAGCUCGUAGGCGGUUCCGUAAGUCGGGUGUGAAAAAUCUGGGCUCAACCCAGUGGAGCAUCCGAUACUGCGGUGACUCGAGUCCGGUAGGGGAGUGUGGAAUUCCUGGUGUAGCGGUGAAAUGCGCAGAUAUCAGGAGGAACACCGACGGCGAAGGCAGCACUCUGGGCCGGUACUGACGCUGAGGAGCGAAAGCGUGGGGAGCAAAC
rnacentral:rRNA from 1 species